UGCCAGACAGUGUGGGGUCAGCAAGAGUAAGGGGGAUGAGGAAGGAUUUCUUAGCCGCAGAAGUGUGCUGUCAUCUGGGCAACAUGCGCAUAGUGAACUGGGGCGUUGUCUUAGAGGAGGCGGACUCCUUUGGUCAGCA